rnacentral:lncRNA from 12 species
GGCUUCAGGGAGUCCAGGAUUGUCGGGAUGUGGCACUGGAUGCCUCCUCACGGAAACAUCUCCUCUUCCUCAAAAGAGCCAUACCCCACCUUUCAUUCACUGAGGUGCUGAUUGCAGCUGCCAUGUCGGGUGUGGUAUCACACCUACAGCAGAUUCCUUCAGAGCCUCAGGUACAUGUGUGUGAUUUGGGGAACACAUUCUUUUC